AGGGCUCAUGUUGUCGACCUCCCCGUGGUGAGCCCUGUCACUGACCCCAGUCAGGCAAACAAUAACA
rnacentral:ribozyme from 1 species